AUACGUAGGGGGCGAGCGUUGUCCGGAAUGAUUGGGCGUAAAGGGCGCGUAGGCGGCCCGGUAAGUCUGGAGUGAAAGUCCUGUUUUUAAGAUGGGAAUUGCUUUGGAUACUGUCGGGCUUGAGUGCAGGCGGGGUAAGUGGAAUUCCCAGUGGAGCGGUGAAAUGCGUAGAGAUUGUGAGGCACACCAGUGGCGAAGGCGACUUACUGGACUGUAACUGACGCUGAGGCGCGAAAGUGUGGGGAGCAAACAGGAUUAGAUACCCUGGUAGUCCACACUAUAAACGAUGAAUGCUAGGUGUAGGGGGUAUCGACCCCUUCUGUGCCGCAGUCAACACAAUAAGUAUUCCGCCUGGGGAGUACGGCCGCAAGGUUGAAACUCAAAUGAAUUGACGGGG
rnacentral:rRNA from 1 species